CCUGCGAAAGCAGGCUCCCGCAAGGGCCGAUGUCGAGGUGCUGCAUGGCUGUCGUCAGCUCGUGUCGUGAGAUGUUGGGUUAAGUCCCGCAACGAGCGCAACCCUUGUCCGCUGUUGCCAUCACGUUAUGGUGGGCACUCUGCGGAGACUGCCGGUGAUAAACCGGAGGAAGUGGGGAUGACGUCAAGUCAGCAUGGCCUUUAUGUCUGGGGCUACACACGUGCUACAAUGGCCGGUACAAACCGUCGCGAUGCCGUAAGGUGGAGCUAAUCGGAGAAAGCCGGUCUCAGUUCGGAUUGCAGGCUGCAACUCGCCUGCAUGAAGUUGGAAUCGCUAGUAAUCGCGGAUCAGCACGCCGCGGUGAAUACGUUCCCGGGCCUUGUACACACCGCCCGUCACAUCACGAAAGCUGGCUGUACUAGAAGUCACCACGCUAACCCGCAAGGGAGGCAAGUGCCUAAGGUAUGGUCAGUGAUUGGGGUGAAGUCGUAACAAGGUAGGCGUAGAUGA
rnacentral:rRNA from 1 species